UUGCCUACGGGAGGCAGCAGUGGGGAAUAUUGCACAAUGGGGGGAACCCUGAUGCAGCGACGCCGCGUGGGCGAGGAAGUAUUUCGGUAUGUAAAGCCCUAUCGGCAGGGAAGAAGAAAUGACGGUACCUGAAUAAGAAGCACCGGCUAAAUACGUGCCAGCAGCCGCGGUAAUACGUAUGGUGCAAGCGUUAUCCGGAUUUACUGGGUGUAAAGGGAGCGUAGGCGGCAGUGCAAGUCAGAAGUGAAAGCCCGGGGCUCAACUCCGGGACUGCUUUUGAAACUGUACAGCUUGAUUGCAGGAGG
rnacentral:rRNA from 1 species